UCUCUGCAUACCUGAGGAUGUUAUGGGCUUUCUGAAGUUAACUUCUGAUGCUACCAGCUGUAAUGUUGGAAGGUCUGCACCUUGACGGCAUGAACAAAGAUCUUAUUGGUAAAAAGUUAUUUCAUCUAAAGAAGAAGCCUGUCAAAGAUGGACUGACUACAAACCUCUGUAAUUAGUAGGUUCUUAGAGCUAAUCACAGUGAGAACAAGCCCUAAAUUGAAGGCUGUACAAUCCAAAGGUUGCUUGACCAGCUGUUCAGCAGGAUUUUUGUCUCUGCGUACCUCCUGAUUGCAGCAAUAGUGGAGUAUCUUAAACUUUUAGUCGUCUGCUUCCUGACUCAUCUCCUGUGGCUAAUGCUGAAGCAGGGGUCUUCAUAUGGAAGGAGAGGACUGCUGCCCACCUGGCUUGGAGGGGAAGAGAAUAUGUGACUCUAGGGAAGAAGCUAUUCUGGCCCAGCCAUGCUGUGGAAGUGCAGGUUUCCUCACCAGAUGGGAGUCUGGUGGUGGAAGGAGGGGAUUUUGGCAGGAUGGAGCUGGUCACAGAACUUUCUCCCUGGUCCAAGGAAUGGUGCAGAUGAGGUGCACUGUAUGCCAGUGCCUGGACUGCAUGGUCU